rnacentral:rRNA from 1 species
AACGCUAGCUACAGGCUUAACACAUGCAAGUCGAGGGGCAUCAGGGUAGCAAUACCGCUGGCGACCGGCGCACGGGUGAGUAACACGUAUCCAACCUACCGUUAACUCGGGGAUAGCCUUUCGAAAGAAAGAUUAAUACCCGAUAGUAUAUUUUCUUCGCAUGUUGAAAAUAUUAAAGAAUUUCGGUCAUCGAUGGGGAUGCGUUCCAUUAGGCAGUUGGCGGGGUAACGGCCCACCAAACCUACGAUGGCUAGGGGUUCUGAGAGGAAGGUCCCCCACAUUGGAACUGAGACACGGUCCAAACUCCUACGGGAGGCAGCAGUGAGGAAUAUUGGUCAAUGGACGAAGGUCUGAACCAGCCAAGUAGCGUGAAGGAUGACUGCCCUAUGGGUUGUAAACUUCUUUUAUAUGGGAAUAAAGUUCUCCACGUGUGGAGUUUUGUAUGUACCAUUAUGAAUAAGCAUCGGCUAACUCCGUGCCAGCAGCCGCGGUAAUACGGAGGAUGCGAGCGUUAUCCGGAUUUAUUGGGUUUAAAGGGAGCGUAGGUGGACUGGUAAGUCAGUUGUGAAAGUUUGCGGCUCAACCGUAAAAUUGCAGUUGAUACUGUCAGUCUUGAGUACAGUAGAGGUGGGCGGAAUUCGUGGUGUAGCGGCGAAAUGCUUAGAUAUCACGAAGAACUCCGAUUG